rnacentral:hammerhead_ribozyme from 1 species
AUCGAGCUGACGAGUUCAAAAUAGGAUGAAACGCGUGUCUUGGAU